UACAGAGGUCUCAAGCGUUGUUCGGAUUCAUUGGGCGUAAAGGGUGCGUAGGCGGCGCGGUAAGUCGGGUGUGAAAUCUCGGAGCUUAACUCCGAAACUGCAUUCGAUACUGCCGUGCUUGAGGACUGGAGAGGAGACUGGAAUUUACGGUGUAGCGGUGAAAUGCGUAGAUAUCGAGAGGAACACCUGUCGGCGAAGGCGGGUUGCUGGGCUGACACUGACGCUGAUGCGCGAAAGCCAGGGGAGCGAACGGG
rnacentral:rRNA from 1 species